rnacentral:rRNA from 1 species
GAUGAACGCUGGCGGCGUGCCCAAUACAUGCAAGUCGAGCGAACGGACGAGAAGCUUGCUUCUCUGAUGUUAGCGGCGGACGGGUGAGUAACACGUGGAUAACCUACCUAUAAGACUGGGAUAACUUCGGGAAACCGUAGCUAAUACCGGAUAAUAUUUUGAACCGCAUGGUUCAAAAGUGAAAGACGGUCUUGCUGUCACUUAUAGAUGGAUCCGCGCUGCAUUAGCUAGUUGGUAAGGUAACGGCUUACCAAGGCAACGAUGCAUAGCCGACCUGAGAGGGUGAUCGGCCACACUGGAACUGAGACACGGUCCAGACUCCUACGGGAGGCAGCAGUAGGGAAUCUUCCGCAAUGGGCGGAAGCCUGACGGAGCAACGCCGCGUGAGUGAUGAAGGUCUUCGGAUCGUAAAACUCUGUUAUUAGGGAAGAACAUAUGUGUAAGUAACUGUGCACAUCUUGACGGUACCUAAUCAGAAAGCCACGGCUAACUACGUG